GGAGGGAUGGCCGAGCGGCCGAUGGCGACGGUCUUGAAAACCGUUUUCGCGCAAGCGAACGUGGGUUCGAAUCCCACUCCCUCCGCCA
rnacentral:tRNA from 1 species